rnacentral:lncRNA from 1 species
GGUACUGAGCCUAGGUUUUUGAGGAGACAACUUGUUGAUGUGGUGGGCGCAAUGUUGCAAGUAGCCGAGGCGGAGAGUUUAGAAGAGGGGACGAGGCAUUUGGCGAUUGAGUUUGUGAUUACGUUGGCUGAGGCGAGGGAACGAGCACCUGGAAUGAUGAGGAAAUUGCCGCAGUUUAUUAGUAGGUUGUUCGCUAUUUUGAUGAAGAUGUUACUCGAUAUCGAGGAUGACCCCGUCUGGCAAGAGUUUAGAAGAGGGGACAAGGCAUUUGGCGAUUGAGUUUGUGAUUACGUUGGCUGAGGCGAGGGAACGAGCACCUGGAAUGAUGAGGAAAUUGCCGCAGUUUAUUAGUAGGUUGUUUGCUAUUUUGAUGAAGAUGUUACUCGAUAUCGAGGAUGACCCCGUCUGGCAUAGUGCUGAAGUUGAGCAUGAGGAUGCAGGUGAGACGAGUAAUUAC